GGAUUAGAUACCCUGGUAGUCCACGCCGUAAACGAUGAUCACUAGGUGUUGCGGGUAUUGACCCCUGCAGUGCCGACGCUAACGCAUUAAGUGAUCCGCCUGGGGACUACGGCCGCAAGGCUAAAACUCAAAGGAAUUGACGGGGGCCCGCACAAGCGGUGGAGUAUGUGGUUUAAUUCGACGACGCGCAGAACCUUACCCGGCCUUGACAUCGAGGGAAAGCCUCUAGAAAUAGAGGCCCUCCCCUUCGGGGGACCCGAAGACAGGUGCUGCAUGGCUGUCGUCAGCUCGUGCCG
rnacentral:rRNA from 1 species